rfam:TPA: Bos taurus chromosome 13, whole genome shotgun sequence.
UCCCUGACAGUCCAGUGGUUAGGGCUCAGCACUUUCAUUGCUGGGGCCAGAGUUCAAUCAUGGUCAGGGAA